rfam:Myotis brandtii contig300654, whole genome shotgun sequence.
AGCGGUUCUCGGGUGACACACCCUGGAACCAGAGAGGAGGGAGCCCAAUUCCAGGGUGCAUCACCCGAGAACCGCC